AGUCAGGGAACAUCUGUCCCUUCUUCGUGAAUAUCUGUGUUCAAGUCUCUUGCUCAUUUGUUAAAUUGGGCUUUUCAUCUUAAUUUUGGUUUGCAGUUUUCUCCCCUAUAUCCGAGGUCUGAGUCCUUUGUCAGGACACACAGUGUGAUUUCUUGCCUGGCAUUCCGUUCCUUGCUUGUCCAUUUUCAAGAGCAGAACAUUUUCACGUUGAUGGAAGCCCGAUGUCUUUCUUCUACGACACAGGUGGUGGCCAGACCUGGCACACGGAUGCAGCUGACCCUGGAAGCUGAAGGGCAGUGAAACCCAUCUGAUUAAGAUGCUCAACUUUUCUGAAGAAAAAGCUGACACCAAGACCUGCCUAAGGUCACACCAUCAUGAGUGGCUGAGUUGGGCUGUGAUGAGCCACCCGGCUGGAGAGCUUGUGCCCUGGUUACACGAUUGCCAGUGAGAUGCCUAUGGACUCGCAUGUAGAGGUGGGUACCCAGACAGCUCAGAGUGAGCUGCCUGCGGGCCCAGCAUGCAGAGGUGUGUACUCAGUGCUGUGUGAGAUGCCUGUGGGCCCA
rnacentral:lncRNA from 1 species